rnacentral:rRNA from 1 species
ACGCUCGACACCUACGGGAGUCAGCAGUGGGGGAUAUUGCACAAUGGGGGAAACCCUGAUGCAGCAACGCCGCGUGAGGGAAGAAGGUCUUCGGAUUGUAAACCUUUGUUCUUGGUGACGAAGAAGUGACGGUAGCCAAGGAGGAAGCUCCGGCUAACUACGUGUCAGCAGCCGCGGUAAUCUGAGCGGGCUGGCAAGGC